UACGUAGGGGCGAGCGUUGUCCGGAUUUAUUGGGCGGUAAAGAGCUCGUAGGCGGCUUGUCGCGAUCGUCCGGUGAAAACCUGCAGCUCAACUGCAGGCUUGCGGUCGAUACGGGCAGGCUGGAGUUCGGUAGGGGAGACUGGAAUUCCUGGUGUGAGCGGUGGAAAUGACGCAGAUAUCAGGAGGAACACCAAUGGCGAAGGCAGCACUCUGGGACGUGACUGACGCUGAGACGCGAAGCGUGGGGAGCAAACAGG
rnacentral:rRNA from 1 species